rnacentral:rRNA from 1 species
GACGAACGCUGGCGGCGUGCUUAACACAUGCAAGUCGAACGGAAAGGCCCUGCUUUUGUGGGGUGCUCGAGUGGCGAACGGGUGAGUAACACGUGAGUAACCUGCCCUUGACUUUGGGAUAACUUCAGGAAAAUGGGGCUAAUACCGGAUAGGAGCUCCUGCUGCAUGGUGGGGGUUGGAAAGUUUCGGCGGUGGGGGAUGGACUCGCGGCUUAUCAGCUUGUUGGUGGGGUAGUGGCUUACCAAGGCUUUGACGGGUAGCCGGCCUGAGAGGGUGACCGGCCACAUUGGGACUGAGAUACGGCCCAGACUCCUACGGGAGGCAGCAGUGGGGAAUAUUGCACAAUGGGCGGAAGCCUGAUGCAGCAACGCCGCGUGCGGGAUGACGGCCUUCGGGUUGUAAACCGCUUUCGCCUGUGACGAAGCGUGAGUGACGGUAAUGGGUAAAGAAGCACCGGCUAACUACGUG